rnacentral:rRNA from 1 species
AGAAUCAACGCUGGCGGCGUGCCUAACACAUGCAAGUCGAACGAGAAAGUGGAGCAAUCCAUGAGUAAAGUGGCGCACGGGUGAGUAACACGUGACUAACCUACCCUUGAGUGGGGGAUAACUGAGGGAAACCUUAGCUAAUACCGCAUAAUACCCACGGGUCAAAGGAGCAAUUCGCUCGAGGAGGGGGUCGCGGCCGAUUAGUUAGUUGGCGGGGUAAUGGCCCACCAAGACGAUGAUCGGUA